rnacentral:rRNA from 1 species
UACGUAGGGGGCAAGCGUUGUCCGGAUUUAUUGGGCGUAAAGAGCGUGUAGGCGGCCACACAGGUCAGCUGUGAAAACUCGAGGCUCAACCUCGAGACGUCGGUUGAAACCGUAUGGCUAGAGUCCGGAAGAGGAGAGUGGAAUUCCCGGUGUAGCGGUGAAAUGCGCAGAUAUCGGGAAGAACACCCGUGGCGAAGGCGGCUCUCUGGGACGGUACUGACGCUGAGACGCGAAAGCGUGGGGAGCGAACAGG